rnacentral:pre_miRNA from 1 species
AAAAAAUGCAAACUCUGGGUUUCCGUGUCCAACUUUGACUGUCCGUCUUAUAUGAAAUUUUUUUAUAAUUUGUAUUUUCAUUGUUGUUAGAUGAUAAAACAUGAUUAAUAUUUUAUACAUGACUUGUCUUUUUUAAUUUUUUUCAUAAUUUUUUCAAAUAUAAGACGGACGGUCAAAUGUUGGACACGGAAACCAGGGUUUGCAUUUUUU